rnacentral:rRNA from 1 species
ACGUCAGACUUCCAAGAAAAGCUCGCAAUGUCAUAAGUAAAAAAUGCCUGUACCAUAACCGACACAGGUGGGUAGGUAGAGUAUACUAAGGGGCGCGAGAUAACUCUCUCUAAGGAACUCGGCAAAAUGACUCCGUAACUUCGGGAGAAGGAGUGCCUUAUUUAUAAGGUUGCAAUAACAAGAUCCAAGCAACUGUUUAUCAAAAACACAGGUCUCCGCUAAGUCGUAAGACGAUGUAUGGGGGCUGACGCCUGCCCAGUGCCAGAAGGUUAAAGAAGUUGGUUAGUGUAUGCGAAGCUGAUGACUGAAGCCCUGGUGAACGGCGGCCGUAACGAUAACGGUCCUAAGGUAGCGAAAUUCCUUGUCGGGUAAGUUCCGACCCGCACGAAAGGCGUAAUGAUUUGGAUACUGUCUCGGAGAGAGGCUCGGUGAAAUAGACUUGUCUGUGAAGAUGCGGACUACCUGCACCAGGACAGAAAGACCCUAUGAAGCUUUACUGUAACUUGAAAUUGGAAUUGGACUUUGCUUGCGCAGUAUAGGUGGGAAGCGUUGAAGAUAUUCUUGCGGGAGUAUUGGAGCUAUCAGUGAGAUACCACUCUUGUAAUGUUAGAUUUCUAACUUUGAACCAUAAUCUGGUCAAAGAACAGUUUCAGGUGGGCAGUUUGACUGGGGCGGUCGCCUCCCAAAUGGUAACGGAGGCGUACAAAGGUUUCCUCUGAACGGAUAGAAAUCGUAUCUAGAGUGUAAAGGCAUAAGGAAGCUUGACUGUGAGACCUACAAGUCGAGCAGGGACGAAAGUCGGUCUUAGUGAUCUGACGGUACUGAGUGGAAAGGCCGUCACUCAACGGAUAAAAGUUACUCUAGGGAUAACAGGCUGAUCUCCCCCAAGAGUUCACAUCGACGGGGAGGUUUGGCACCUCGAUGUCGGCUCAUCGCAUCCUGGGGCGGUAGUACGUCCCAAGGGUUGGGCUGUUCGCCCAUGAAAGCGGUACGCGAGCUGGGUUCAGAACGUCGUGAGACAGUUCGGUCCAUAUCCGGUGUAGGCGUUAGAAUAUUGAGAGGAGCCUUCUUUAGUACGAGAGGACCGAGAAGGACACACCGCUGGUGUACCAGUUAUCGUGCCAACGGUAAACGCUGGGUAGCUAUGUGUGGAGUGGAUAACCGCUGAAAGCAUCUAAGUGGGAAGCCCACCUCAAGAUGAGUA